UAUUAUUUUUGUCAUUACUAUUAUUAUUUGGUGUGUUCUCUGCACUGCCCCUGUGCGCAUCUGUUUGUAGGCAGGUAUGUGUGUGUGUGUUGCCUUUCUUCUGUGGCCAAGUUACAGGCACCUUCAGCCCUGGGGGCGUGGCCUGACUUGAGGGCUGGCCACACCCGAGGUCCUUGCCGCACACCUGCUCCUCAUCUGGGCUCGUCGGGAAAGCUAUUUAGAUGAGCGAUGGAGCUUCCACCGACGCUGGAUUAUUGCGUUUGACUACACGAGGAGUGUGGGACGAGAAGGAGCAGUGAGCACGAGGAGUGCAGGGACACUGGGGCAGAGAGCACUACACGGAGACUUUUGGGAAGAAGACACUACACGGGAGUCUGGGAAACUGGGGAUUUACUGUUGUUUACUUCACCACCUUGUAAAUAAACACUGCUGCACUGUA